rnacentral:rRNA from 1 species
AUUGAACGCUGGCGGCAGGCCUAACACAUGCAAGUCGAGCGGGGUUUUCGGACCUAGCGGCGGACGGGUGAGUAAUGCGUAGGAAGCUGCCCGAUAGAGGGGGAUACCAGUUGGAAACGACUGUUAAUACCGCAUAAUGUCUACGGACCAAGGUGUGGGACCUUCGGGCCACAUGCUAUCGGAUGCGCCUACGUGGGAUUAGCUAGUUGGUGAGGUAAUGGCUCACCAAGGCGACGAUCUCUAGCCGGUUUGAGAGGAUGAUCAGCCACACUGGAACUGAGACACGGUCCAGACGCCUACGGGAGGCAGCAGUGGGGAAUAUUGGACAAUGGGCGCAAGCCUGAUCCAGCCAUGCCGCGUGUGUGAAGAAGGCCUUCGGGUUGUAAAGCACUUUCAGCGAGGAGGAAGGGUGGUGUGUUAAUAGCACAUCAUUUUGACGUUACUCGCAGAAGAAGCACCGGCUAACUCUGUGCCAGCCGCCGCCGUAAUAC